GAGGAACAACUCCACUUGUAGAGUAUCUCUCUCUCUCUCUCUCUCUCUCUCUUACACACACACACACACACACACGAGAGAGAGAGAGAGAGAGAGAGAGAGAGAGCUUAAUGGAAAAAGGUCAG